rnacentral:rRNA from 1 species
AUUGAACGCUGGCGGUAGGCCUAACACAUGCAAGUCGAACGCGAAAGUCCUUCGGGAUGAGUAGAGUGGCGGACGGGUGAGUAAAGCGUGGGAAUAUGCCCUUCGGUUCGGAAUAGCCCCGGGAAACUGGGAGUAAUACCGGAUACGGUCUACGGACGAAAGAUUUAUCGCCGAAGGAUUAGCCCGCGUUGGAUUAGGUAGUUGGUGGGGUAAUGGCCUACCAAGCCGACGAUCCAUAGCUGGUUUGAGAGGAUGAUCAGCCACACUGGGACUGAGACACGGCCCAGACUCCUACGGGAGGCAGCAGUGGGGAAUCUUAGACAAUGGGGGAAACCCUGAUCUAGCCAUGCCGCGUGAGCGAUGAAGGCCUUAGGGUUGUAAAGCUCUUUCAGCUGGGAAGAUAAUGACUGUACCAGCAGAAGAAGCCCCGGCUAACUCCGUGCCAGCCGCCGCUGUAACAC